GAUGAACGCUGGCGGCGUGCUUAACACAUGCAAGUCGAACGGAAAGGCUCCUGCUUGCCGGGGUACUCGAGUGGCGAACGGGUGAGUAACACGUGGGUGAUCUGCCCUGCACUUCGGGAUAAGCCUGGGAAACUGGGUCUAAUACCGGAUAGGACCACAUUUUGGAUGGUGUGGUGGAAAGUUUUUCGGUGUGGGAUGAGCUCGCGGCCUAUCAGCUUGUUGGUGGGGUAAUGGCCUACCAAGGCGUCGACGGGUAGCCGGCCUGAGAGGGUGUACGGCCACAUUGGGACUGAGAUACGGCCCAGACUCCUACGGGAGGCAGCAGUGGGGAAUAUUGCACAAUGGGCGCAAGCCUGAGGCAGCGACGCCGCGUGGGGGAUGACGGCCUUCGGGUUGUAAACUCCUUUCGCUAGGGACGAAGCGUUUUUGUGACGGUACCUGGAGAAGAAGCACCGGCUAACUACGUG
rnacentral:rRNA from 1 species